AGAUAAGACAACAAGCAUACAUGAAGCAAGAUUCAUAUCAGCGAAAAUGGGGCAGGGUUUUAACUCAUUUAAGGUGAAGAUUACACCUCUGCGAAGCUCCAUCACAGAUCAGCCUCUUCCUUGGAGCACUGCCCAGCACACCUGGAAAAGAAAAUGACCACAAGGAAAAAUCGAUAAGCUCCACAAUCGACCAAGAUAGAAGGUCAAAAAUGGAGGCGCAACGGAAGGGAGAAAGAAAUGCUCACAGUAGUAGCGGGUACGGGAGGCGAUAUUUCAGACAAGGCGACGGAGGAUAUGGCUAUUGUCCAUUCACUUUCCAAACGUGGAAAUGCC
rnacentral:lncRNA from 1 species